UUCCCCAAGUCCGGCACCACCUGGCUCAAGGCGCUGGCCUUCGCCACCGUCCACCGCGCCGACCACCCACCGUGCGCCCCCGACCACCCGCUCCGCCACCGCAACCCGCAUGACUGUGUAGAGUUCCUCGAGGUGCCCUAUGCGCUCACUCCGGACGCCGAUGCAUUUGCGGCGCUCCCAUCCCCGCGCGUGAUCGCCACCCACAUGCCCUACUCCCUCUUGUCGGAGCAGAUCAUGGCGGAGGGCGCCGGCUGCAAGGUCAUGUACGUCUGCCGCGACCCCAAGGACGCCUUCAUCUCCACGUGGCUGUUCGCCAGGAAGACGGCGGUGGCCGCCGCAGCCGAGGCCGCCAACGACGACGAACCGCGGCCGAGGCCCCAUGUCUUGAGCUACUGGGAGGCGAGCCGGAGGUGGCCAGAGAGGGUCCUCUUCCUCCGGUACGAGGAGAUGUUGGGGGACCCGGUGGGCAACGUGAGGAAGCUGGCCGAGUUCAUGGGGUGCGCGUUCUCCGGGGAAGAGGAGGCCGCGGGGGUGGCACUGGAGAUCGUCAAGCUGUGCAGCAUCGACGCCCUGAAGAACGUGGAGGCGAACAAGAGCGGUGCUCAGAACUACGUCAAGAACAAGGCCUUCUUCCGGAAGGGGGUUGCCGGGGACUGGAGCAACCACAUGACGUCGGAGAUGGCGGCAUUGUUGGACGGGGUCGUCGAGGACGCGCUGCAAGGGUCGGGGCUCGCCUCUCCUGCCGCCGAGUCCAUGUGA
rnacentral:rRNA from 1 species